rnacentral:lncRNA from 1 species
ACCAGAAAUUUAGUUCUGUGAGAAAUUUAAAUUUUACCCAAUAUGCAUGGAAAUUUAAAUUUUACCCAAAACGUUUCUGAUAGCUCUCUUUAUCGUCUCACUCACUCAAUCACCCACGCUGCCAUCGCAAUCGGGCAAAUUUCCUUGUUUGGGGCGCUUUUAUAAACUAUUUCCCCAUAUGGGAUCGUUUUGAAACUAUUUCCGCGAGGGAGUUGUUUUCUACGUAAUAUGCAUGCAUGCACCACGCAAACCGCCAAUGGAACUGGCGAGUUUGGUGUUUGUGAAGGAAUCGCCAGUGCCAAUGGCAAUAUGUACGUUACAUAGGGAACCGCCAGUCAAACUAGCGAGUUCCAAGUUGCAGAAGUUGCAGUCGUAGGCUCAGGUGGCAGGCUUGCUUUUUCAGAUGGCAGACCAAAGGUAAGUUGCAACUGCCAUUGGUGAUUUAGGGCGAAGGGAAUAGCCAUUUGGGAUGGCGAUUUAGGGCCUUUAUAUAUGCAAAAAUUACUUCGGUGUUGCUAUAUGUUCAAAACUAGAUUUCAGUUUUCAAAAACUGUGAGCGUUCUUGAGAUUUAAAUUUGUCCGCAUAAGGUUUGAAAUUUGCUUCUUGAGGCUUAAAUUUCUGAAUCAGGUUCGUAAUUUU